rnacentral:rRNA from 1 species
UAGGGAGGGCUAGCGUUGCUCGGAAUCACUGGGCGUAAAGGGUGCGUAGGCGGGUCUUUUAAGUCAGGGGUGAAAUCCUGGAGCUCAACUCCAGAACUGCCUUUGAUACUGAAGAUCUUGAGUUCGGGAGAGGUGAGUGGAACUGCGAGUGUAGAGGUGAAAUUCGUAGAUAUUCGCAAGAACACCAGUGGCGAAGGCGGCUCACUGGCCCGAUACUGACGCUGAGGCACGAAAAGCGUGG